CUCCUCCUCUCUCUCUCCUCCAUUUCUUCUCUCUUUCUCUCUCUAGAUCUCACGGCCAUGAAGCACUUCAUGCAGCAAAGAAACGCAAUCUUGAGGGAGACGACGAUAGAGUCUCCGGCCUCGUCCAACCCUAGCGCGGUCAAGCCCCAGCCGUCGCGGAAGCAGAGGGGCUCCAAGGAGAACGCGCCAAGCCCCGGCCGUCGCGGAAGCAGAAGGGCUCCAAGGAGAACGCUCCGCCGUCGGAUCCGAACUCGUUGCCCCCGAUUCCGGAGCACUCGCCGGCGAUUUCCACCCUCUUGACCUCCACUUUCUCCCAAUCCCUCGUCGGACAUUAAUGUCGCCGGAUAAUGACCGGAGUUUUCACCAGCAAUCGCCGGAUUCUGCUCUCUCACGUUCUCAUCGGACCAGAUUGAAACAUUGUUGAAGGAAUGAUAGAAGUUUUCCCAAACAAUCGCCGACAUUUCUCUCUUUCUUCCUCAUUAGACCAGAUCCACCAUUGAAGGUUUGAUAGAGUUUUUCCAAAGAAAUCGCUGCUAAAUUCUCUCUCUUCCUCAUCUGACUAAAGAGUUGCAACUUACUUCUGGAUUUUUGAGAAGAUGGCACAUGGCACAACUGAUGAAUAAGGUUAGGCUCUCAUUGCCAAAAGCUUGAUGAAAGCUUUAUAUUAGCUCUCAGAUUGCAAACUGAAUAGUCAAAGGAAAUCUCAAGGAAGCACGUACAAUGUCCAAAAAUCGUAAUUGAUGAUGUAAAGCCAACAACCGCGGAUGAUGACAACGA